rnacentral:rRNA from 1 species
GUGGGGAAUAUUGGACAAUGGGCGCAAGCCUGAUCCAGCCAUGCCGCGUGAGUGAUGAAGGCCUUAGGGUUGUAAAGCUCUUUCAGUAGGGAAGAUAAUGACGGUACCUACAGAAGAAGCCCCGGCUAACUUCGUGCCAGCAGCCGCGGUAAUACGAAGGGGGCUAGCGUUGUUCGGAUUUACUGGGCGUAAAGCGCACGUAGGCGGAUUGGUCAGUUAGAGGUGAAAUCCCGAAGCUCAACUUCGGAACUGCCUUUAAUACUGCCAGUCUCGAGUCCGGAAGAGGUGAGUGGAACUCCUAGUGUAGAGGUGGAAUUCGUAGAUAGUAGGAAGAACACCAGUGGCGAAGGCGGCUCACUGGUCCGGUACUGACGCUGAGGUGCGAAAGCGUGGGGAGCAAACAGGAUUAGAAACCCGUGUAGUCC